AGUGAACGCUGGCGGUAGGCCUAACACAUGCAAGUCGAACGGCAGCACAGUAAGAGCUUGCUCUUACGGGUGGCGAGUGGCGGACGGGUGAGGAAUACAUCGGAAUCUACUUUUUCGUGGGGGAUAACGUAGGGAAACUUACGCUAAUACCGCAUACGACCUACGGGUGAAAGCAGGGGAUCUUCGGACCUUGCGCGAUUGAAUGAGCCGAUGUCGGAUUAGCUAGUUGGCGGGGUAAAGGCCCACCAAGGCGACGAUCCGUAGCUGGUCUGAGAGGAUGAUCAGCCACACUGGAACGGAGACACGGUCCAGACUCCUAAGGGAGGCAGCAGUGGGGAAUAUUGGCCAAUGGGCGCAAGCAUGAUCCAGCCAUACCGCGUGGGUGAAGAAGGCCUUCGGGUUGUAAAGCCCUUUUGUUGGGAAAGAAAAGCAGCAGGUUAAUACCCCGCUGUUCUGACGGUACCCAAAGAAUAAGCACCGGCUAACUUCGUG
rnacentral:rRNA from 1 species